AAACAAGAAAAGAAUAAACACGCAAACACACAUUGUGGAGUGCGAUAUCAAACCUCUUUGGAUGUUCGGUGUUUCGCUCAAUCAUCUUUAUUAUUUGCAACAUCAAGAAACAACAUUCAAUUUCUUCUGUUUGAUACGACAACCUAUGCUAUAUAAGGAUGCUUGCAUAGUGAUCAAUGGAGGAAACCAUAAUGAGGUUGUAUCUGAUAAAAUUCAGUGGGUGUUGGCAUAGUAGCACUAUAUUUGUGUUGAUAAUUAUAAAUGUAAGUCUUGGAUUUAGUAACCUAAAAAAGGUAGAACCUUACCCAUUUUUAUCAUUCUUGAUCAUUCAAUAAGAUUCAAUCUCUGCUGAGCAUAACAGUGUUCAGGUUCAACAUGCUAAUAAAGUGGUUACCCAAGGUUCAGCGGUGAUUUGGAAACCGAAAUCUCAUGGAACUGUUCUUGGAGGACUGCAACUGAAGUUGAAAGCAUGCUGUUGGGUAAAGGGAAGGUUGAUGGUUCAGAUGCAGCUUCAUGCACGAAUCAGAGCAACCUUUUGGAAAUGUAAAGUCAGAUAAAGAGGUAUUGUCUUGGUGGGCCAAAAAUGUUGGAUGAUGUCAUAAUGUGAAAGCUAGUUGUUGCCUUAAAAUGCUGGAUGAUGUCCCUAAAUGCAAUUUUGCAACUGCAACAUGAAGUGAUUUUGCAAAUGCAAAAGGAAAUGCGUCCUUGUGUUUGAUUAGCCUACUGAUAAAGGGUUUCAAAGGAAUUCUCUAAGGAACAAAUGAAUCAACUGAAGCAAAGUACAAAAAAACCAAUUCUUUGGAGUCUAAACUAUUUCAUAUAAGGGGAUGCUUGCAUUGUGAUUAAUGGAGGAAUCCAUAAUGAGGCUGUAUAUCUGUUAGUCUUGUUUACUGCAGGACCUACUAUGAAAUCUGAUAAAAUUCAAUAAAAUUCAAUCUUCUGCUUGAGAAAUAGAAAACCUUUUAUUGGUGAACAUAGCAGUGUUCAAUUUCAGCGGUGAUUUUGAAACCGAAAUCUCAUGAAAUUGUUAGUGUAGGACACGGUAACUUAAGUUGAAAGCAUGCUGGUGGGUAAAGGGGAAGUUGGUUGAUGGUUCAGGACUUCAGGUGUUGGUGUUGAUGUGGCUUCAUGCACGAAUCAGAGCAACUUUCUAUCCCAAAUUUGAAAAUGAAAAGUCAGAUCAAGAGACCACCUAUGUCAUAUAAGGAUGCUGGCAUUGCGAUCAACUGAGGAAACCAUAACAAGGUCGUAUCUGUCAAUGUUUUUUACUGCAGGUGGAUGUAUAAGAUUCGGAUAGCACUAGAUUUGUGUUGAUAAUUAUAAAUGUGAGUAUUGGAUUUAGUAACUUGAAUACAUGUGAGCUCUUAUAAGUGGCCUCUCGGUUAUGCAGCAUUUAAUCAAUCGAUCAUGUAGGUGGUACAACCACUCUAGUAUGCAGCCUACAAACUUGAUAUGGUCACUGAUGACAGUUCUUUCAGACAAUAUUAUUAUGUAACAGAAUCAGAUAUAGCUGUAAGUAUGCUUCAGAAUGAAGGAAAAGCAAAUGAUUCAACCAUUUUAUGUUUCUCAUAUGGUAAUGAAAGUACUGAUUUGUUUUUCUUUAUGCAAUUUAAACUUGCUAUCAAUUUCCUAUGUGUCGUGCAAUUUACGAUGUUGCUAUAUAAUUACAGCUCUGUAGUUAGUUUAACGAGAGGAUCUUUUUUACUAUGUUAUGUAUAUGGGAGAUUUGGUGCUUAAUGCGGUCUAUUUUCGUUUUUGAGUUAAGGUCUAUUUCAAUGAUCACAUAUUACGAGAUAACGAGAUUACAUUAUGAUGGUUGCUGUGUGACGGGAAGUUCUGUUAUAAUAUGCUUUGAAUGCUUGUUUAAAAAUUGAUCAAUUACACGAAAAUAAGUAGCUGGGAAAGUGUUACUUUAUGGCAUGUAUGGUUGAUUUCGGAUUUUGGAAGAGGGUUACAAGGACGAGCGACUCGGACUUUAAUAGGUUUACGCUCUCAUAAGUCUAAAAAUGACAAUGUUUUAUGUCGUUAUAUAAGUAUAUGGAUAAUUAGUUGCCUUGAAAUUGUCUGAUAACACUACCUAUAAAUCGACCAAGUGCAUCUAAAUGCUAAUGUUAGGUAGCACUUAUUAAGAUUUCUUGUCUCGGUUUCAAAAUUUUGAUGUUUACAUCCUUGCCUUUUCCUUCUUGUGUCUGUUUCAACAGUGACUAUGAUGGCACACUAAAGGAAGCGUUGUCAAUUUACUCAUAAUUUAAAAGUAGCCUGAUGCCUUCAAUGUUUAUAUUAUAUGAAUUUAAUUUUAUUCAUUCAUAAUAAUAGAAGCGAUGGAUUUGUUGUGAUUUAAUGACCCUGAAUGCAAAUAUAGACGGAGAAUUGCCACUGUGAGAUGGAAUACAGGAUGUCUCGAUGACCCAAACUGAAUUAUGAUAUUGCGCCUGUGAUUGAGGGUGCUGUUCACCACAUCGGUUCAAGAAGAUUUGAGUUUGGAGGUACUGAUCUAACUAAUUUCCUGGCUCAAGAACUUGGCAAAUCAAAUCCGCAAGUAAAUAUCAGC